rnacentral:lncRNA from 1 species
CGAAAGCUGUCGAAGCUUUGCAGCGGCUGUGGCACUGGGUGCGAGCCGAUGAGCGCUUCCACCGCGUCCUCGGGCGUCAGGUUGAGCGCCUCGGGGUUCAUCUGCUGGUAGUUGCUCGCCAUCCAGUACAGAUCCUCGAGGUGUGUCUUCUGUUCGGUCGGGCUGAAGCUGGGCGACGAGGGCACGGAGCUACACGGAGUGCUGAGCGGUGUGGAGGACACCGAGCCGGCUGGCUGCAGGCGUGUGCAGGGCCUGCCCGGACGCUCCGCGCGCCCCAGUGGCUCCUUCUUCACGUCGAACUUGAGCAGGUCGAAGUCGUUGACAUACUCCAUGGCCAGCGGGCUGGUGGGCAGCUCUGGCCCCAUGCUCAGCUCCGCGGCCAUCGCUGAAGCGA